UACAGAGGGUGCAAGCGUUGUUCGGAAUUACUGGGCGUAAAGGGCGCGUAGGCGGCCUGUUAAGUCGGCCGUGAAAUCCCCGGGCUCAACCCGGGAACUGCGUCCGAUACUGGCAGGCUUGAAUCCGGGAGAGGGAUGCGGAAUUCCAGGUGUAGCGGUGAAAUGCGUAGAUAUCUGGAGGAACACCGGUGGCGAAGGCGGCAGCCUGGACCGGCAUUGACGCUGAGGCGCGAAAGCCAGGGGAGCAAACGGG
rnacentral:rRNA from 1 species